AUUGAACGCUAGCGGCAUGCUUUACACAUGCAAGUCGAACGAGUGGCGGACGGGAGAGUAGUAUAUCGGAACGUGCCCAGUAGCGGGGGAUAACUAAUCGAAAGAGUGGCUAAUACCGCACACUAUAGGAGCGGCCGAUAUCGGAUUAGCUAGGUGGUGGGGGAAAGGCGCACAAAGGCAAAGAUCCGUAGCGGGUUUGAGAGUACGACCAGCCACACGGGAAGUUAGACACGGCCCAGACGCCUACGGGAGGCAGCAGUGGGGAAUUUUGGACAAUGGGGGAAACCCUGAUCCAGCCAUGCCGCGUGUAUGAGAAGGUCUUCGGGUUGUAAAGUACUUUUUGCAGAGAAGCGGUAUCUGCAGAAUAAGCACCGGCUAACUACGUGCCAGCAGCCGCGGUAAUUC
rnacentral:rRNA from 1 species